rnacentral:piRNA from 1 species
UUGGUGUAUUGAAUAGUACUGAGUAAUCGU